rnacentral:rRNA from 1 species
UCGAACGGCAGCACGGGUGCUUGCACCUGGUGGCGAGUGGCGAACGGGUGAGUAAUACAUCGGAACAUGUCCUGUAGUGGGGGAUAGCCCGGCGAAAGCCGGAUUAAUACCGCAUACGAUCUACGGAUGAAAGCGGGGGACCUUCGGGCCUCGCGCUAUAGGGUUGGCCGAUGGCUGAUUAGCUAGUUGGUGGGGUAAAGGCCUACCAAGGCGACGAUCAGUAGCUGGUCUGAGAGGACGACCAGCCACACUGGGACUGAGACACGGCCCAGACUCCUACGGGAGGCAGCAGUGGGGAAUUUUGGACAAUGGGCGAAAGCCUGAUCCAGCAAUGCCGCGUGUGUGAAGAAGGCCUUCGGGUUGUAAAGCACUUUUGUCCGGAAAGAAAUCCUUGGUUCUAAUACAGCCGGGGGAUGACGGUACUGGAAGAAUAAGCACCGGCUAACUACGUGCCAGCAGCCGCGGUAAUACGUAGGGUGCGAGCGUUAAUCGGAAUUACUGGGCGUAAAGCGUGCGCAGGCGGUUUGCUAAGACCGAUGUGAAAUCCCCGGGCUCAACCUGUGGAACUGCAUUGGUGACUGGCAGGCUAGAGUAUGGCAGAGGGGGGGUAG